CAUGCAGUCGAGCGCGCUUCGGGCGAGCGGCGGACGGGUUAGUACGCGUGGACGUGCCAGAUCUACGGAAUAGCCACUGGAAACGGUGAGUAAUACCGUAUACGCCCUUCGGGGGAAAGAUUUAUCGGAUUUGGAUCGGCCCGCGUUAGAUUAGGUAGUUGGUGGGGUAACGGCCUACCAAGCCUACGAUCUAUAGCUGGUUUUAGAGGAUGAUCAGCAACACUGGGACUGAGACACGGCCCAGACUCCUACGGGAGGCAGCAGUGGGGAAUCUUGGACAAUGGGGGCAACCCUGAUCCAGCCAUGCCGCGUGAGUGAAGAAGGCCCUAGGGUCGUAAAACUCUUUCGCCUGUGAUGAUUAUGACAGUAGCAGGUAAAGAAACCCCGGCUAACUCCGUGCCAGCAGCCGCGGUAAUACGGAGGGGGUUAGCGUUGUUCGGAAUUACUGGGCGUAAAGCGCACGUAGGCGGAUUAGAAAGUUAGAGGUGAAAUCCCGGGGCUCAACCCCGGAACUGCCUUUAAAACUACUAGUCUAGAGUUCGAGAGAGGUGAGUGGAACUCCGAGUGUACAGGUGAAAUUCGGAGAUAUUCGGCGGAACACCAGUGGCGAACGCGGCUCACUGGCUCGAUACUGACGCUGAGGUGCGACAGUGUGGGGCGCCCCCGGAUUGAUACCUGGUAGUCAUACAGAACCGAGAUGCCGUCGCGGUAAAUACAUCGG
rnacentral:rRNA from 1 species